rnacentral:tRNA from 1 species
AGCUCUGUGGAGUAAUGCUCGUUGGGUUGCAAACCCAAAGGUGUGGGUUAACUUCCCUCCGGGGCUU